rnacentral:rRNA from 1 species
GAUGAACGCUAGCUACAGGCUUAACACAUGCAAGUCGAGGGGAAACGACAUCGAAAGCUUGCUUUUGAUGGGCGUCGACCGGCGCACGGGUGAGUAACGCGUAUCCAACCUGCCCACCACUUGGGGAUAACCUUGCGAAAGUAAGACUAAUACCCAAUGACGUCUCUAGAAGACAUCUGAAAGAGAUUAAAGAUUUAUCGGUGAUGGAUGGGGAUGCGUCUGAUUAGCUUGUUGGCGGGGUAACGGCCCACCAAGGCGACGAUCAGUAGGGGUUCUGAGAGGAAGGUCCCCCACAUUGGAACUGAGACACGGUCCAAACUCCUACGGGAGGCAGCAGUGAGGAAUAUUGGUCAAUGGACGAGAGUCUGAACCAGCCAAGUAGCGUGCAGGAUGACGGCCCUAUGGGUUGUAAACUGCUUUUACAAGGGAAUAAAGUGAGUCUCGUGAGACUUUUUGCAUGUACCUUAUGAAUAAGGACCGGCUAAUUCCGUG